UCACGCCAUUGUCCUGCCUCAGCCUCCCGAGUAGCUGGGACUACAGACGCCCGCCACCACGCCCGGCUAAUUUGUUUUUUGUAUUUUUAGUAGAGACGGGGUUUCACCGUGUUACCCAGGAUGGUAUCGAUCUCCCGACCUCGUGAUCCACCCGCCUCGGCCUCCCAAAGUGCUGGGAUGACAGGCGUGAGCCACCGCGCCCGGCCCUAUUUUUUUCUUUUUUGAGACAGAGUCUCGCUUUGUCGUACAGGCUGGAGUGCAGGGGUGCAACUGGGGUUCACUGCAGCCUCGAACUCCCAGGCUCAAGCGAUCCUCCUGCCUCAGCCACCCAAGUAGCUGGAACCACAGGUCCGCACCACCACGCCCCGCUAUUUUUUGUGUUUUUUGUAGGGACGGGGUUGCACCAUGUUGCUCAGGCUGGUCUCGAACUCCCGUGCUCAAGCGAUCCGCCAUCCUGGGCCUCCCAAAGUGCUGGGGUUACAGGCAUGCGGCCCCGCGCCGGCCCAGUCUUUCCCUCUCCCACUGCUUCCCAGGGCUUCGCCUGUCUAACCAGGCGCGGGCAGUUGUCCUGUGUCCUGGCUCAGCGCGGACCUACGCGGGGUGGUCACACAGAUGCCCCCAGCUCUCUCUACCUCCCGCGAAGGCGCUGAGCCCCCUGAUCCCUGCCCGGGCACUGGCGCAAGGUCGCCUGCGAGCGCCAGGCCUUCCUGCCCGGUGGGAGACGGGAGGGCCCGCUCUCCGGCUCGGUCUGGUUCCCGGGUCAGCCAGCAGCCGCGCCUCUUCCUCCCAGACCCGGGACCCGCCCCUUGGCCGGGGCCGCGGCCGCAGCGCCCGGAGGGGCCGCCCUGCGCGUGCCCGCGGGAGGCUCUCCUUCUGCCUCCGCAUGCCCAACGAUCCGGAGAAAAACACGGACCAUGACAUCAAAAGGCCUUGGCCAAGGAAUCGUGAUUAUUGUGAUACAAGAUUCUGCACCUCAAAGGGGAUCCCUGUAGUGGUGGAGGCAUUCUAAGUCACAGGAUGAGAUGAGAGGCCGGCACAAGCAGUAAAGAAGCCGCGGCCAAAACCCACCAAAACCAAGAUGGUGAUGCGAAUGACCUCUGGUCGUCCUCACUGCUACACUCCCACCAGCGCCAAGACAGCUUACAAAUGCCAUGGCAACGCCAGAAUGUUACCCUAUAUGGUCUAAAAAGGGGAGGCAUGAAUAAUCCACCCCUUCUUUAGCAUAUAAUCAAUAAAUAACCAUAAAAAUGAGCAACCAGCAGCCCUCGGGGCUGCUCUAUGGAGUAGCCAUUGUUUUAUUUCUUUACUUUUUUUUUUUUUUUGAGAGGGAGUCUUGCUCUUGCUCAGGCUGGAGUGCAGUGGCGUGAUCUCGGCUCACUGCAAUCUCCGUCUCCUGGGUUCAAGCGAUUCUCCUGCCUCAGCUUUCGAGUGGCUGGGACUACAGGUGCCCCCACCAUGCCGGCUUUUUUUUUUUUUGUACUUUUAAUAGAGACGGGGUUUCACCACGAUGGCCAGGGUGGUCUCGAACUCCUGUCCUCAGAUGAUCUGCCUGCCUUGGCCUCCCAAAGUGCUGGGAUUAUAUGCGUGAGCCACCGCGCCCAGCCCUAUUCCUUUACUUUUUUUUUUUGAGGUGGAGUCUCACACCUGGCCUCCAAUAUGUUUAUUCAUAUUGCUGAGGCAGGGGAUUGCUUGAGCCCAAGAGUUUGAGGUUGCAGUGAACCAUGAUCAUAAGCUGUAUUUCAGCGUGAGUGAGAGAUUGAGACCUUGUCUCACAAAAUAAAAGUUAAAAAGCCCUUAUCUGGAGGUGAGAAAGCCAAAUACAAAGGUCUUCUCAGUUGGUUCCCAGUCUUCCCAGUCCAGCAGCCUCAGCAUCACCAGGGAGCUGGUUAGGCAAAUUCUCGGCGGCCCCAACCUACUGAAUUGGAGACCCUGAAGAUGGGGCUAUCUGAAUUUUAACAAGGCCUCCAGGUUUGCAUGCUCAAGAUUGAGAACCACUGGCAAAAGCAAACAAUUUGAAUCUGAAGUCAGCCCACCUGCAUUUGAAUACAGGCCCUGCCACUUAAUAACUGUGAUUUAGAGCAAGUUAGUUACUUAACAGCUAGGUUGACCAAUUGUCCGAGUUUGCCUGGCACUAUCCUGAUUUCAGCACUGAAAGUACUACAUUAUCGCUGUGGCUCACGCCUAUAAUCCCAGCUUCUCAAGCUGUCCCUGUGGAAUCCUCAAUAUCGGUACAUUCAUCCCUAUCUAGCAUCCCCUUCCUCCCUCACCCAUCCUGCACCCUCAGAAUUCAUUCUCAGAUCACCUUCCCAGAUUUUUGCCAAUAUCAAUUAAAAAAAUUUUUUAGCCAACCAUGUACUGUGAGUAAGCCAAUAUCAAUUAGCAAAAUCUUUAGUUUCUUUUGGUGAUUCAGUAUCUUCCCCCUGGAGUUUUUUGAUGAUUCAGUACCCUCCUAGAUUUGGCCCCUGGGGCCUGCGGGGAUGUGACUUGUCAUUUAAUUCUGGAGAAAAUGAGGGGUAGGGCUUAUAAGGAGACUCCUUCGGGGCAGGGUCAUUACAGGGUGUGUUACAUAGGGAAAUGCUAGCUGCUGGCUAGCUCUCGCUCUUGAAAGGCUCUUCCUCCCUCAACUGAAAUGGGGAAGGGGGAACCCCGGCCGACUGAGGUCCUGACAUCUUUAGCACAUGGCUUCUUAGGUCACCCAGGGCAUCCAGGUUACCAGCUUGGGAAACAGGAGAUGUAGGUUGGAGGAAGAGGCUACAGCCCACCCUGGAAAUAACUGCCAUCCGUCCCACCCAUAUGGUUAGGCUUUGUGUCCCCACCCAGAUCUCAUCUCGAAUUACAAUCCCCACGGGUUGAGGGAUGGACCAGGUGGAGGUACUUGCAUCAUGGGGGCAGUUUCCCCCAUGCUGUGCUCGUGACAGUGAGUGAGUUCUCACGAGAUCUGAUGGUUUUAAAGCGUGGCAGUUCCUCUUUCUCGUGCUUACAUCCUCGUAACUAUCCUGUGGAGAAGGUGUCUGCUUUCCCCUACCUCCAUGGUUGUAAGUUUCCUGAAGCCUCCCCAGCCGUGUGGAACUGUGAGUCAAUUAAACUUCUUUAUAAGUUACCCAGUCUCGGUGUUUGCUUUUUUGAGAUGGAGAUUUGCUCUUGUUGCCCAGGUUGGAGUGCAAUGGCGUGAUCUCGGCUCUUUGCAACCUCUGCCUCUCGGGUUGAAGCUAUUCUCCUGCCUCAGCCUCCCAAGUAGCUGGGAUUACAGGCGUG
rnacentral:lncRNA from 10 species